rnacentral:rRNA from 1 species
AUGACGAGCAACGCCUUGGAGUUAGUGUGCUGGAAUGUUAGAGGCCUUAACAGUCCAGCCAAGAGGAAGGCGCUUAGAGGAUUCGUGGAAUCUGUCUGCGCGGCGAUCGUUUGUAUUCUAGAAACUAAAUUAGAGGUGGUGGACAUUUAUGUAAUCUUGCAAUGCAUGGGUCCGGACUAUGAUGGUUUCACUUAUUUGCCGUCGUCUGACACUAGAGGAGGCAUUUUUGUGGCUUGGGACACCACGAGAGCGCUUUUGAUGAAUUUUGUCAAUGAUUCCCAUUGCGUCACCGGGUACGUCUCGCCCAAGGAGGGGACGCAAUGGUGGUUAACUGUAGUCUAUGGGCCGCAGGAGGACGAGCACAAGAUCAACUUCUUGAAUGAGAUUUCGAAGCGUAGAUCGCUAAGCCUAGGACCAUGGCUUGUCAUUGGCGACUUCAAUCUUAUUCUUCACGUAGAAGACAAGAAUAACGCCAACUUGGACUAG